AGAGUUGAUCAUGGCUCAGGAUGAACGCUAGCUACAGGCUUAACACAUGCAAGUCGAGGGGCAUCAUGACGAUAGCUUGCUAUGUGAUGGCGACCGGCGCACGGGUGAGUAACGCGUAUCCAACCUUCCCCUUAGUAGGGCAUAGCCCGGCGAAAGUCGGAUUAAUACCCUAUGUUAUUCGUAGAGGACAUCUGAAAUGAAUCAAAGAUUUAUCGCUAAGGGAUGGGGAUGCGUCCGAUUAGGUAGUCGGCGGGGUAACGGCCCACCGAGCCUUCGAUCGGUAGGGGUUCUGAGAGGAAGGUCCCCCACACUGGUACUGAGACACGGACCAGACUCCUACGGGAGGCAGCAGUGAGGAAUAUUGGUCAAUGGGCGUAAGCCUGAACCAGCCAAGUAGCGUGCAGGAUGACGGCCCUAUGGGUUGUAAACUGCUUUUAUACGGGGAUAAAGUGAGGGACGUGUCCCUUAUUGUAGGUACCGUAUGAAUAAGGACCGGCUAAUUCCGUGCCAGCAGCGGC
rnacentral:rRNA from 1 species